rnacentral:rRNA from 1 species
AGCAGCCGCGGUAAUUCCAGCUCCAAUAGCGUAUAUUAAAGUUGUUGCAGUUAAAAAGCUCGUAGUUGAACUUCGGGGUUCACCCAUUGGUCAGGCUUAAUUGUCUGCACUGGUGAGAUGAGUCUCUACCUUCUGAGGAACUUUCAUGCCAUUUAUUUGGUGUGAUUGGAAAUCAGGACUGUUACUUUGAAAAAUUAGAGUGUUUAAAGCAGGCUAACGUCUGAAUACAUUAGCAUGGAAUAAUGAAAUAGGACGGACUGAUUCUAUUUCGUUGGUUUCUAGGAUCACCGUAAUGAUUAAUAGGGAUA